GCGCUGUGGCUGCUGCUUGCCGCGCGACUCCUGAGUCUUAUUAUUACAUAGAUAAAAGUUGUCACACACCCAUGGCAUGCUUGCUCUUCACCCUGCAUGCGUGCAGCUGGCGUGCAUAUAUAUAUAUGCGGGUGGAUGAGCAGUCAGUGCAAUCAGCAGCGGUAUGGGACGAACCCAACCUUCCCUCCGCGCACGUCGUACACCACCUCCGUCGACAUCUGCGCCAUGCUCCCAAUCACGGUGCCGCCAUCACAAUCAUCAUCCUGCGCUACAAACGCGAGGCACCCAAUGGAGAAGUGGUUAUCGGGGUCGGUGAAGUACAUCAUUUCAUCCAUCCAGAGGUCGACGUCUGCCCCGCCGGCGAACUUGAGCGUCACGGCCGGCACGGAGAAAGCGUCCAACCCGGUGAAGUUGUAGCACGUGUCCAGGCUUCCGAGCGGCGGCGCGGCAGGGUACUCCGACAUGGACUUGCGGAAGCUGUCGCGGAGGACCUUGUACACCUGGGGCUUGAGGUAGGUGAACGUCGUGUGCAGCUCGAGGAUGGUGUCGUCUCCGGCGAUGGCGGCGGGCGGGAUCGGGAGGUCCGGGCCGCCGAGGCCCAGCCCGACGAGAUCCACGACGUACAGGUUCCCGUUGCUGGGGCUUCCCCUCAGUGGGGUGUAGCUCACCUUGCGUCCCAAGAGUUCCGGCUUGGUGGCGCCGAGCGAGAGGAAGCCUACAUCGGCCGUGGAGGCCGGCAGGCAGUAGGAGAAGGCGACCGCGUGCGGCGGAGAGGAGGCGACGAGGCGGGACGGCAGGGAGUGGCUGUUCCGGCUGAGGUCGAGGAUGCCAGCAGAGCCAUCCUCGGCCGGGCCCGGCGCGAUGCCCUCGAGACACGCGAACCUGAACUUGUCCACCGUGGCCGACGACGACGGCGUCAGGGUCAGCG
rnacentral:misc_RNA from 1 species